UACGUAGGUGGCAAGCGUUGUUCGGAAUUAUUGGGCGUAAAGGGCGCGUAGGCGGUUUGUUAAGUCAGCUGUGAAAGCCCGGGGCUCAACCCCGGAGGGUCAGUUGAUACUGGCAGACUAGAGUACAGAAGAGGUAACUGGAAUUCCCGGUGUAGCGGUGAAAUGCGUUGAUAUCGGAAGGAACGCCGGUGGCGAAAGCGAACGGCUGGACCUCUUCUGACGCUGAGGCGCGAAAGCCAGGGGAGCAAACGGG
rnacentral:rRNA from 1 species